UUGACCUGCCGAGUUCCUCUCGCAUUGUGUGUGUUAUGUGCAUGUGUUGCUAGGGGCAUUAAUGCUCGACGUAUACACACGGGAUUACAGUACCCGCCUCGUAGCACAGCCCACACGGCCGUCUGGUCUGCCCUAUCGAAAGCAGUGGGAGGCGACUAGCCUUUUAAAAAGGAAACCUCUUUUAAGAUUAACAGAAGUUUGAGUCUGGUUAUAUAAGUUUACUGUCCUGAACUGGGAAUUAGAGCAGUCUCCUUCAGUAACUAAUACGGCAGCACAGCAGGAGCAUUUGGCGCCCUAAACUGAUUAAGAAGCUAUCCUACAUCCAACUUCUCGGCUGUGUGUGCGCGUACACGAGUGAGUAUGGGUGUGGCUCAUGAUGUACAUGUGAGUGUGGAUGUUGGUGUGCACGCAUGCGUAGGUAUGAGGGUGUGUGUGUAUGGGUGGGCGUUUGCGUGGAUUAUAUGCGGGUGACUACAGGGGUGUGCCUGUGCAUAUGCGCGUACGUGUGUGUAUGUGCGAGGGGUAGGUGAGGGUGUUUGUGCAUUAGGGGAUGUGGCGAGUACUGGAUAUGUGUGAUUGGGGAUGUGGGGUGCGUGUGCGUGCAGAGGUGUGGGUGGGAAUAUGGGGUGUGUGCGAGGGUAAGGAUGGAUGGGUUGGUGGGUGUACCCACUUCUUUAAACCCAAGACCGCCUUUCCCACACUCCCCCCUCCUUCAAGAACCGAAGGAGGAGCCGAGAAACUGGUGUGGAUGUUCCCCACGCUCUCAGAUGGAGGAGCGGAUUAGAGUUUCCGGCUUGGGUGGGAACUCUGUGAUAGCAGAGCUGAAGGGGAAGAGAGGGAAGCGCUCUCUCCUUCUACCCAUAGAAAGCCAAAACCAGUUUGGGGCGAGUCCAAGACUCUGGGGAGGAGAAGAAGGGACACCCGCGGUGACCUGCUCCACCUCUCACCUCCAGUCCGAAAAGCAGCGACGGAGUGAACUGCCAGCACCUUUUUUCCAGGACAGCAGUGGCUUACACCAGUGGACCUCCACUUGAGAUGCUGCCUGACAUGCUGAUUAUUUCCAGGGUCUUUGACGAUAGCUAUUCCACAGCAGCAGGCACUGAGUUAGCCCCUCGGGAGAUGUCAGCUGGAGGACUCAGUUUUAAGGCUCUGCCUCUCCCAAGAUCGGAUGUGAGUCAAACCAGAGCCCCUUCUUGCAAACGAGUGGCUAUCAGGAAAACCAGUGUACAAGAACCUUCACUCUACCUUCCCAAACCAGGAUGAUCCCUGUCAAAAUCAGCAGGAAAUUUGCUUUGGUCACAAGAUGGCAAACAGAUACUGAAAUGAUUGGAGAAGGGAUGGAGAAACUCAACCAGGUUAACGCACAUACAUAUCACCAUAUGCUACCUUGGAAAACAAACAAAUAGCAAUUAUGAAAGCCUAUACAUAAACGAAGACUGACAGGUAACCACUGUUGAAAAGGAGACUAAUUGUGCAAACAAAAAAUAAUAUUGAGAAUAUGAGUUGUAAAGAGUUCUUGUAAGUAGUUUGUAGGUUGUAGAACCAGUUCAGAGUUGAGGUGAGUAAAGUUAUCCAUGCCAGUUCAGGAGUCUGACGGUUGCUGGCAUGGGGCCUAAGGCCUUCCUGAGUUAGUAGGGAGUAGAGAGCAUGGCCAGGACAGUGGGGUCCCUGAUGAUGGAUGCUGCUUUCUUGUGCCAGUGCUCCACGUAGAUGUGCUCAAUGCUGGGGAGGACUUUGCCUGUGAUGGACUGGGGUGCAUCCACCACUUUCGGUAGAGUUUUUAAGGUCCUCCAACAUUUGUCUGUGUGGCAAUUUACAGUUAUUGUUGCUACCAUUGUGUGUUUAAGCUGUGGAGGACCCCAGGUUAGAAUGUGGUCCACAUGGGCUGCGAACCUAAAUCAAUGCCUGUUUCACUUCUUUAUACAGUGCUCAGCAUCAACGCCAAAGGGGACGUGGAGAAAGGUGCAAGGGGGUUUAUUAUGGUUCUCCCCGAGCAGCUGAUCCCAGGGACACUCACAGAGAUGGACAUCAAGUGCUGCUGGAAGGUCAGCAACUCGGUGAAAGACUCCCUUUGGUGUGCCAGCACACUGAGGUGCCUGUAGAGAAAUGCACAUGCCGCACUGCAGGAGUAUGUACUGAAGGAAACAGUAAAGUUUGGUGCCGUCACCGCACUGGCUUGAUGGGGAGGGACCACAGUAUAGGGUUCAUCUGGUUCUCAUCAAGGAAGAACUGGGUUGGACAAGGUAGUCCUCAAUUAUUCAUUAUACCACACUAUUUAGCUCUUUUGCUCUCGUUCUGCACUACUUAUUUAAUUUUUAUAUACUGUGUGUACCUGGCCGUGAGGAAACGAUAUGAUUUGGCGAUAUGAAUCAAUAUGAGUCAGGGGCACCUUUCCUCAUUCCCUGUCAGGCCCACCGUUGAACUUGAACCCAUGCGAGGUCAUCAGUCGCCUAAACGCAGUGACACCCUUGCGCCAGGGAUCACUGGUUGGCCUCGCGCGGCCGGCGGGAAGUGCCGUUGCUACUGGCCUGGAGCGCAGACAGAUGGGCGCCACCUUUUAGCACACCGAAUGUUCGUGGGGAACCUGGUAGUAAAAUAUUCACAGACGACCUAAUCCAGGCUCAGGGCUUCGUAAGUAGCAGAGCAGCUACCUCGCUGCGAUCUACUGAAAGUCAUCCCUCGAGACAAACUUCUGUCGGCCGAUAGAUCCUGCCUACCUACGGGGGGAGAUGGGCACACACCCUAUCACACUCCUCCUCGCUGUCCGGACUGCGACCGUCGCGGCCCCAGCACAGGGACCUACAGCCCUUACCUUGUCCUCUCACCCCACCCACGACCAGCCGCACCUGGCCAAUGCAUCUGGUGCAGGCAGGAGGCUGGAGUUCAGGCCCAGAGGCUGUCUAAUUAGACAAUGAAGCCCUCAAAACUGCUUCUGUACCUUGAGUCCAAGCCCCCUGCACUUAAAGACAAACCUGUUGAGUUUUUUGAGCGAAAAAAAUCGUGAGCAAGCGGGACAAAUGUAAGUGCUGAUAUCCACGAAAACUAAAUUGCGGAAUAGGCUGGACAUAAGGAGCCUCCUUCGAGUAUCACUGUAUUCUGGUCGUGUUUAACACCACCCCCCCACCCCCACCCCCGUCGGCCAGUCGGCAAGAAUAUUGUCAAUAUUAAAUCGGUCUGCGGUGCAAAAAAGUUUGGUGAUCUCUGCCUUAUUCCAUCUCUAGUUUUGAUGAUGUUGUGUACUUGAGGCUUAAUGAAACCUGAAGUUUGCCAACAUUUCUGUAAUUUUUCAGUUGCUGUGUCAUUAAAAGUUGCUGCCUCUGUUGUAAAGGGGAAUGACAUCAGAGGCUUUGCCUGCUGCUGACUGCAAGGUCAGCUGGACUGAGCACUCCUGAUCACUGCAGAGGGAAGUAAAUGGGUCUUAAAUCUUCCCUAUAGUUUAGAGGAAUUGAAACAUUCACUCAUCAUCCACCCCCUCGCCUGGCUGAAUGCAUAACUCGACCAGGGGUUCAUUAACACAAGAGAUGCCAGAAAUCCAGAGCAACACACACAAAAUGCUAGAACUCAGUAUGUCAAGCAGCAUCUAUGGAGAGGGAAUAAUCAAUGACCCUUUGUCAGGACUCAGGUCUUAGCCUGAAACAUUGUUUAUUUUGCUCCAUGAUCUGCUGAGAAUCCCCCCAGUGAUUUGCAUAUGUUAGGAGGGGAUCAUUGUUAUUAAGCCAUAGAGUCAUACUCAAAGAAAUUUCAGCCCCAUUCGUCUAUGGCUAAUACAAGGGAGCAUAAUUUUAAGGUGAUUGAAGGAACGUAUAGGGGAGAGGUGGGUUAUUUAUACAGAGAGUGUUGGGUGUAUGGAACAUCCUGCCAAGGGUGGUGGUAGGGGCAGAUACAUUAGAGCAUUUAAGUAGGCACAUGAAUGAAAGGAACAUGGUAGGCUAUGAGGGAGGGAAGGGAUUGAUCUUGGUUAGGUCAGCACAACACCGUGGGCCCAAGAGCCUGUAUUGUGCUGUACCGUACUGGGGGGGUGGCACGUGGUAUAGUGGUUAAUAUAAUACUAUCACAGCACCAACUAUAAAAUUGUGGUUUGAUUCCCACCUCUGGCUGUAAAGAGUCUGCAUGUUCUCCUCAUGACCGCACGAGUCUCCUCCCGUUACUCCGGUUUCCUUCCGCAUUCCAAAGUCGUACGGUUAUGCUUGGUAUAUUGGCUCCAGAAGCAUGCUGACACUUGUUGGUUGCUCCCAACACAAUCCUCGCUGAUUAGAUUUGGCAUCGUAUGUUUCAAUGAUAGAAAUUGAAUAAAGUUUAUCUUAAAGAUAAAGUUUAUCUUUAUCUUACUGUUCUGUGUUCUCAGACGCCAUUCUUAAUUGGUCAGAUUUGCUUUCACAGUUAUGAUAAAUCCAACCUCACAGUGCUAGAAACCUGGGUUCAAUCCCGAACCCUGGUGCUGUCUGUGUGGAGUUUGCAUGCUCACCCUGUGGGCUUUGUUCUGGUGUCACAGCUUCCUCCCAUAUAUCAAAGAUGUGCGGAUUAGAAAGCUAAUUGGACACUGUAGAUCGUUCCUCAGUGCAGAAUUUGACUGGAAUGUGGGAUUAGUAUUGAGUUGGUGUAGAUGGGUGAUUGAGGAUUGGCAGGAGUUACAGGAGCCUUAAGUACCACCCUCUUCACCAAUUCAGGAAGUUAUUAUCCUCAAACUAUCAGGCUCCUGAACCAGCAUGGAUAACUUCACUCACCUCAACACUGAACUGAUUCCACAACCUACACACUCACUUUCAAGAUCUCUACAUCUCAUGUUCUCAGUAUUAUUAUCUGUUACUUGCACAAUUUGUCUUCUUUUCCACAUUGGUAGUUUGUCAGUCUUUGUUUAUCUGUAGUUCUUCCAUAAGUACUAAUGUAUUUGUUUAUUUUCUUGUAAAUGCCUGCAAGAAAAUGAAUCUCAUGUUAGUAUAUGGCAACAUAUAUGUACUUUGAUAAUAAAUUUUACUUUGACUUUAGACUUCAACAUGAAAAUGAACUCUGGACUUGGGAUAACUUUCUCCAUUGGUUAGGCUCCUGGCUGAAUUCAUAACUUUUAUUUGCAGGGAUUAUGAAUACAUCUGUGUCUAAAAUAUAAUGCAAUUAUAUUGAUGCUUGUGCAAAAUAUGCAUUCUUCCAAAAUCCCAGAAUCUUUAUUUGGCUUUCAGUGUAUUUCCUGGCCCCGUCUUCAAUGGGAAUCUUACAGGAUGUUUUGACUCAAUGCCUGUGUUCCUCCUUCCAAGUCCACUUCAGCUCCAGAGGAAACUGGGAAAGGCUCGUGGAAGAGAGUCAAACGCCCUCAAAAUAUUUCCACAAGGCGCCUCAAAAGGGAGCAGAUCAUUAUAAAGGCUGCAAAAUACAGGAGAGAUGGGUUUUUUGAAAGGGAUCUUUAGGUGUAAAUAUAUAGUCAAUCCAUACUGAAUCCCUUGCUGCUGUUUGCACUUGCCAAAAAUGAUUAAAUUCAGAUUUACAAACCCUUUUGUUACUAUGUAACUCUCAUAUAACUUACAUAGCAGAGAAGCUGUGGACCAUGGUACUAACAGAUGUUUUGAAAUUUAAAGGAACAUCUGGAUUUUCAGGGGGUGAAGACUUCAAUUCACUAGUAUACACAGAGUGACCUUUCUCUAUUAAUUACAUCUCAGAACAAGGCCUUUUGGCCCAUCUUGUCUAUGUCCAUGUUUAACCCACCAUCAAGACCUUGUGAUGUCAUUGAUGUUAGGACUUUAUUAAUUCAGUCAAGGAUAUAAAUGCUAAUGGUCAGUACUCAAUGUUGGGAGACCCAACUGCAGAACAAUUGAUGGUCAUGGUAAUGUAAUGGUUGGUGUAACACUAUUACAGUGCAGGCAACCCAGGGUCAAUUCUUAUCAUGUCUGUAAGGAGUUUGUACAUAUUCUCCAUGACUGCAUGCAUCUCCUUUGGGUGCUCCUGUUUCCAUUACAAAGAUUUACAGGUCACGUGGGUGUAAUUGGAUGACACACACUUCUUGGGCUGAAAGGUGCUGUAUCUCUAAAGAAAUGAACUUCAUUGGUGUGAGUCUGAAGUCAUAGGGGUGUCAGACUGGGCAAGUUAUCCCUCACUGGAAGGCAUUGACAGAAGCACAGAUAGAGUAGUCACCUGGCAACUUUCACCCAGGGUUGAAAUAUCAAAUACUAGAUAGGGGACGUGCAUUUAAGUAAGAGGGAAAAAUUUCAAAGAAGUUUUUACGCUGAGAGUGGUGGGUGUCUGGGAUGUGUGGAUGGAUUCAGAUACAAUAGAGGCUCUUGGGCACAUGAGUGUUCAGAGAAUGGAGAGAUAUGGACCAUGUGCAGGCAGAAGGGAUUGGUGCAAUUAGGCAUCAUCAGCUUAAUUAGCCCAGCUCAAUAUUGUGGGGCAAAGGCUGUUUCCUGUGCUGAACUUUUCUGCAUUCUUUCCUCAAAGUUGGGGAGUAACAAGUCAGUGAAAUGAGCCUUCGCAUCAACACGGUCUGGAGAAAGGAAAGAAAAGUGCAGAUCAAGAACCCAUCGACAGAAUGCCAUCAAUCUUGACCUGAAUCAUUAACUCUUGUUUCUGUCUCCACAGAUGCUGCCUGAACUGUGGAGUGUUUCCAGCAUUCACAGACAAAGUGCUGGAGGAACCCAGUGGGUCAGGCAGCAUCUAUGGAGGGAAAUAAACAGUUGAGCCCUCAGCAGAACUAGAUAGGCAGGGGGCAGAAACUGGAAUGAAAAGGGACGGGAAAGGGAAGAGAACAAAUUGGAAGAUAUGUGAGCCCAGAUGAGGGGGAAGCAGGGCUUCAACUCCCGUCUCCCCCCCCACACCUUCUUAUUCUGGCUUCUUCCCCUGUCCUUUCCAGUCCUGAUGAACAUUCUCAGCCUAAAAUAUCCCCUCCAUUGAUGCUCUCUGCCCUACCGAGUUCUCCCCGCAAUUUUGCAUGUGUUGCUCAAGAUUUCCAGCAUCUGCAGAAUCUCUUGUGUCUCUGAGUGUUCCCAAUAUUUUCUGUUUUUAUUUCUGAUCUCCAGCAUCUUCACUCGUUUCAUUUUCCUUCGCUCAUGGAAGGACCUACAGUCACUGUAACCUUCAGAUAUGCAUUACCUCAUAUUUGCCAGUACUCUGUAUCCCAUUUGCUUCUCAAGAGACAGAUAGAUACUUUAUUGAUCCCAAAGAAUAUUACAGUGUCACAAUAGCAUUACAAGUACACAGAUAAACAAAUGAAACCAAUUCUCUCUUCAUCUCUCUAGCUCAGACACACAAAAAAAACCCACUCCCCUGAUUGGACGGCUCACAUUCCAAAGUACCCGUUAUCUCUAACCAUAACACAAAUACUGCUUCUACAGAGUGACCAUUGCAUUAGCAGUGAAAUCUUUACCAGGAGGUUACACAAAUAUUAGAAGAGAAGUAAGAACGAAUAAAAAAUAAGUUAACCUCGAAUAGUCUGACAGAAGGAGGUCAUCACUUCCCUGGCUAUAGGUUGACGCAUUAUAGAGCUUAAUGGCUGAGGGUAAGAGUGACCUCAUAUUGCGCAAUUUGGAGCAGUGCAGUUUGUCUUAGACCAUUACUAAAAGAGCUCCUCUGUUCAGCCAAGGUGGCAUCAAGAUUAAUCCUAAAAAUAUUCAAAGACUGUGUUGUAAAAAUGCAAGUUUAUGUUUAACAGGUAUCACAAACCAACAAAAAUGUAGAAUUACAACUAUUUGAGUUAAGUGAGAUUAUUUAUGUUUAAAAAUAGGGAAUCAGUCUUGAACUGCCUGACUGAGGGACAAUCCCCAGGAGCAAAACAGAGCUUGGAAACAGGCCCUUCUGCCCAAUUGGUCUUUGCCGACCAUGAUGCCAUUUGCCUGCGCUUGGCCCAUAUCUCUCCUUACCUGUCCAAUUGUCUUCCGAUGGUUGUUCUUGCACACUUCCUCUGGGAGCUCAUUCCAUAUAUGCACGAUCUUUUGGAUGAAGAAUUUGACCUUGGGUCCCUUUUAAAUCUCUCCCCACUCAUUUUAAAACUAUGCCUUGUAGAAUUUAGCUUCCUUCCCAUGGGGAAAAAAACCUUGUGCAUUCACCCUAUCUACGCAUGUCAUGAUUUUCUACACCUCAAAGGAAUACUCACAUCAAGCUCACAAUUUUGUCAAAAGGGAACUUUAUGAUUGAACUUUGUGGUUCAUACUUGAAAGGAUCAGCAAACCCAGAUAUCAGAGACCAUCAUACUUUCUCCAGCCACUCUCCGUCUCCGUGUUACGCUCGGUAGCCAUUUUAUUAGGUACCCCGUACUUGUAAUUAUUAGUAACUCCUGUACCUAAUAAAUUGGCUACUGUUCAUGGUCUUCUGCUGCUGUAGCCCAUCCACUUCAAGGUUUGACAUGUUGUGCAUUCAGAGAUGCUGUCCUGCACACCACUGUUGUAAUGCAUGGUUAUUUGAGUUACUGUUGCCUUCCUAUCAGCUUGAACCAGUCUGGCCAUUCUCCUCUGACCUCUCUCACAAGCAGAGCAUUUUUACCCAUAGAACCGCUGCUCAUUGGAUUUUGUUUUUCACAGUAUUCUUUGUAAACUCUAGCGACUGCUUUGCAUUCAAAUCCCAGGAGAUCAACAGUUUCUGAAAUACUCAAGCCACCCUGUCUGGCACCAACAAUCAUUUCAUUAUCAAAGUCACUUAAAUCCUUUUUCUUCCUCAUUCUGAUGUUUUGGUCUGAACAGCAACUGAACCCGUUGACCACGUCUGCAUGCUUUUAUGCAUUGUGUUGCUGCCACAUGAUUGGCUGAUCAUUUAUUUGUAUUAAUGAACAGAUGUACAGGUGUAUCUAAUAAAUUGGCUGCUGAGUGGAUUUUUUAAACACUUGUCUAUUUCCAUUUUAAAAUCUAUCCUACAUUCAAUUUCCUCCACUGGCCAGCUUGUUUUUCACUCCAAUCCUCUCUAUUCAAUGUACUCUGUCAGUUUAUCUGUAAGUACUUUGCUAAUUAUCUUAAAUUUCCCACUAAUUAUUGGAGUGCUGAUUAGAGGAAGUAAUCAUUUCCUUGAUGUCGCAGGGUAACUAUCGGAACACCCAGGUUGGACCUGACCGUAUCCCUCAGUCUCCCAGUGGAAAGAGUCUCCUCGGCCUCUGAACUGAUGUUCAGACACACUGAACCUGGAACAGGAGGCGGUAAAGAGAGGACACACACAGUGAAUGGGUGUUGCUGGGAUUUGCCUUCCAGAUCACAAAACUUUUCAUCUCGUAUAAUUAGAGUCAUAUUUGUGGCAGAAACAAGUGCAUUCAGCCCACUGAGACUGUGUAAUCUUGAUGCAAAAAUAAUUGACUCCCCUCUCAAUCACAGACCAUAAUAUAUAGGAGCAGAAUUAGGCUGUUCGGCCCAUCUAGUCUGCUUCAUCAUUCCAUCAUAGCUGAUUUAUUAUCCCUCUCAACCCCAUUCUCCUAACUUCUCCCUGUAACCUUUGAUGCCAUUACUAAUCAAAAACCUAUCAACCUUAGUUUAAAAUAUACCUGAUGAGUUAGCCUUCUGUGGCAAUAAAUUCCACAGGGUUACCAACCUUUGGCUAAAUUCCUCCUCAUCUCUGGUUCUGAAGGGAUGCCCUUGAUUUCUGAGGCUGUGCCCUCUGGUACCAGAUCCACUGCAUCCACUCUAACUAGGCCUUUCCAUAUUCAAUGAGAUACCCUCAUGCUUCAAAACUCCAACAUGUAUGGGCUCAGAGCCAUGGAAAACUACUCAGCAUUAACCCUUUCCUUCCCAGAAGCAUUCUCUUAACCCUCCUCUAGACCCACUCCAUUGCAGGAGGUACUUAAUAGAGUGGCCAGUAAGUUUAUUUUCUACAUGUUCGUGAUCUUCUGCUGCUGUAGGUUAUCAGUAGUUACUGAGAUACUCAAACCACCCUGUCUGGCACCAACAAUCAUUCCAUUAUCAAAUUCACUUAGAUCCUUUUUCUUCCCCAUUCUGAUGUUUUGGUCUGAACAACAACUGAACCUCUUGACCGUGUCUGCAUGCUUUUACCAUUGUGUAAUCAACGUCACAGAUCACAUUUCUCCCCCAUUCUGAUGCUUUAUUAAUUGAUUUGCUAGCACAUGAUUAGCUUAUUAGGUAUUUGCAUUUGUACAGGUGUAGCUAAUAAUGUGGCCACCAAGUGUAUGUCAUGGAAUUGAUUGUUUCGUGACAACAGUACAGUGCAAUACAUAAAAUAUACUAAUGAUUACACUAAGGAAUAUGUUGUGUAAAAAGAAAGCAGAAUAGUGAAGUGGUGUUCAUGGAUUCAUGGACUGUUCAGAAAUCUAAUGGUGGAGGAGAAGAAGCUGUUCCCAAAGCAUUGACUGUGUGUCUUCAGGCUCCUGUGCCUUCCCUCUGACGGAAGCAAUGAGAAGAGGGCAGGAACAGGAAAGUGGGAAGAAGUGGUUGUGGGAUAAAGGACUCUUGUUCUGUGUCAUAUCGUGUGCUGUUCCAAAUUCUAGCCUCAGUAGUCCGUUCUGAGUCAUCCUCCUGUUUCUCCAAACUGCCCACCCAUGGAUGAUUGUUGAUCAUUUGUCAGACAUUCCCCCUCCCCUGUUCCAAUACUUCUCCCCGUAUCUAAAACUACUUUAAAAAUGAUUGACUUGUCCGUUAGAUUUCCCUUCCUGAAAGCGUUCCUCAGAAUCCUACAACUACAAAACAUUCUGGAGUGUUAAUAACUCUGCCGUGUACAAGACCAAUCAAAGCAACGUAUAAAAUAAAUGAUACACGCAAAACCCUGGAGGAGCUCGGUGGGUCAAGCAGCAUCGAUGGAGUGGAAUAAUGAGUCCCGAUGAAGGGUCUCAGCAUGCAAUGUUGACUGUUUAUUCUCUUCCAUAGACGCUGCUGGACCUGCUGAGCUCCUCCAGCAUUUUGUGUGCAUCACACUGGGUUUCCAGCAUCUGCAGAAUGCCUUGUGUAUAAAAUUUAAAGAUUAGCUUUAUUUGUCACAUACAUCAAAACAUACAGUCACUUGUGGUAUUUGCGCCCAUGACCAACACAGUCCGAGGGCAUGCUGGGGGCAGCCCACAAAGUGUUGUCAUUCUUCCAGCCCCAACAUAGCAUACCCACAAUUUACUGACCUUUACAUCUUUGGAACGUGAGAGCAUUCAGAGGAAGCCCAUGCAGUCUCAGGGAGAAUUUACCAACAGCAGCGGCAACUGAACCCUGAUUGUACUGCUGGUGCUGUAAAGCGUUACACAGUUGUGCUGUCCCAAAGUAGGUGUGCAGAGGUAAUCAUCAAACUACGAACCUGGCAGACAUGCUGUUGAUUAUAGGAGGCUGCAAGUGAGUUAUACUUGGUAUUUAGUUCAUGUUUGUCACAUGGUCUGAGAUACAGUGAAAACCCUUGUUUGUGUGUCAUCCAAAUAGAUCAUUCCACAAUAUGUCAUUGGGGUACAGAAGGAAAAAUAAUAAAUGCACAAUUAUGUUACAGUAACAGAGAAUUUUCAGGGCAAUCAGAUAAAUUAAUUGCAAAGGAUAUGUGAGGUAGACUGGCAGAUCUAGAGUUCAUGAGUCUUCCUGCAGCUACCAUUGGGAAGGAGGUACAGGAGCCUUACAUCCUAUACCAUGAGGUUCAGGAACAUUUAUUACCCUUCAACCAUCAGGCUCCUAAACUUUAUUCACCUCAACUCUGAACUGAUUCCACAACUCAUGAAGUCACUUUUAAAGCUCUACAACUCAGAUUCUUAAUAUCUAUUUAUUUAUUUAUUUAUUUAUUUAUUUUUGUAGUUUGUCUUUUGUUCAUUGGUUGGUUGUCAGUCUUUGUGUGUCGUUUUUCAUUAAUUCGAUUGCAUUUGUUUAUUUUACUGUGAAUCCCUGCAAGAAAAUGUAUCUCCAGGUAGUAUAUGGUGACAAUAAUAAAUUUACUUAGAACUUCGAGCUUUAUCGUACAAGAGAA